UCUCUAAGCAUUAGCUCAAGACAAGAUGGGUCCUAAGCACAAGUUCUUACUAGCCACCAGUCAGCUCAUUUAGAAGAAACUUAAAAAGGAGGCAUAAUGCAUGUGGAAGUAGCAACUGAGUUACUGGGAGAUUCUACUUGUAGAAUGAUGGGCAUGGGUGUCCAAGCUUUUGGCUUGCCUGGGCCACACUGAGAGAAGAGGAAUUGUCUUUGUUGGGAAUUUGUUGCUUCAGAAGUAAUGCCUCCUAUUUAUUUCCAUGUGUUGAACAGACAUCCUUUAUGCUAAGCCUCAGCCUUCUUCCCAUAAGCACCAAAGUCUUCUGCUUCUCCAGAGCAGCAGCUGCCUCUGUACCAGCUGUGAGUCCUCCUCACAGCCCCAUGCAGCUCAGGUCCCUCCUACAGACUCCUCCUGUUGCCCCAGCACAGCAGCUCAGAGGAUGCCGGUCCCUGCCUUUGUUCCUUCCUCUUGCUGAAGAAGAGAUGAGGGGACUUGGUGAGGGAGGGGGUGGAGAUGGGAAGGAUGGGUUCAUGGCAUCCUUGACUGUCAAAAGAAUUCCCAGGAAAUGAACGUCCCAUGUGAGCCCACGGGGUGAUC
ensembl:lncRNA